rnacentral:rRNA from 1 species
CCCGGGCAUACUUAGUACGGCGAGUGAAGCGGUAAAAGCUCAAAUUUGAAAUCUGGUACUUUCAGUGCCCGAGUUGUAAUUUGUAGAAUUUGUCUUUGAUUAGGUCCUUGUCUAUGUUCCUUGGAACAGGACGUCAUAGAGGGUGAGAAUCCCGUUUGGCGAGGAUACCUUUUCUCUGUAAGACUUUUUCGAAGAGUCGAGUUGUUUGGGAAUGCAGCUCAAAGUGGGUGGUAAAUUCCAUCUAAAGCUAAAUAUUGGCGAGAGACCGAUAGCGAACAAGUACAGUGAUGGAAAGAUGAAAAGAACUUUGAAAAGAGAGUGAAAAAGUACGUGAAAUUGUUGAAAGGGAAGGGCAUUUGAUCAGACAUGGUGUUUUUUGCAUGCACUCGCCUCUCGUGGGCUUGGGCCUCUCAAAAAUUUCACUGGGCCAACAUCAAUUCUGGCAGCAGGAUAAAUCAUUAAGAAUGUAGCUACUUCGGUAGUGUUAUAGCUUUUUGGAAUACUGUUAGCCGGGAUUGAGGACUGCGCUUCGGCAAGGAUGUUGGCAUAAUGGUUAAAUGCCGCCCGUCUUGACCCCCCGAACCA